UUAACUCAAAUUUGUAUGCAGUUGGAACGUUUGCCGCUAGAGGUGCUGUUUCAAGUACAUACAAAUUUGAAUUG
rnacentral:pre_miRNA from 1 species